rnacentral:rRNA from 1 species
GACCAAGGAGUCUAGCAUGUGCGCGAGUCAUUGGGAACUCAUUAAACCUAAAGGCGCAAUGAAAGUGAAGGUCCGCUUAGCGCGGACCUAGGGAGGAUGGGCUCUUCUUCGGCAGAGCCCCGCACUCCCGGGGCGUCUCAUUCUCGUUACGAGAAGAGGCGCACCUUGAGCGUACACGCUGGGACCCGAAAGAUGGUGAACUAUGCCUGGUCAGGACGAAGUCAGGGGAAACCCUGAUGGAGGUCCGUAGCGAUUCUGACGUGCAAAUCGAUCGUCGGAACUGGGUAUAGGGGCGAAAGACUAAUCGAACCUUCUAGUACGUGGUUCCUUCCGAA